AUAGCUGAUUUGAGAGGAUGAUCAGCCACAUUGGGACUGAGACACGGCCCAAACUCCUACGGGAGGCAGCAGUGGGGAAUCUUGCACAAUGGAGGAAACUCUGAUGCAGCGAUGCCGCGUGAGUGAAGAAGGCCUUUGGGUUGUAAAGCUCUUUCGUCGGGGAAGAAAAUGACUGUACCCGAAUAAGAAGGUCCGGCUAACUUCGUGCCAGCAGCCGCGGUAAUACGAAGGGACCUAGCGUAGUUCGGAAUUACUGGGCUUAAAGAGUUCGUAGGUGGUUGAAAAAGUUGGUGGUGAAAUCCCAGAGCUUAACUCUGGAACUGCCAUCAAAACUUUUCAGCUAGAGUAUGAUAGAGGAAAGCAGAAUUUCUAGUGUAGAGGUGAAAUUCGUAGAUAUUAGAAAGAAUACCAAUUGCGAAGGCAGCUUUCUGGAUCAUUACUGACACUGAGGAACGAAAGCAUGGGUAGCGAAGAGGAUUAGAUACCCUCGUAGUCCAUGCCGUAAACGAUGUGUGUUAGACGUUGGAAAUUUAUUUUCAGUGUCGCAGGGAAACCGAUAAACACACCGCCUGGGGAGUACGACCGCAAGGUUAAAACUCAAAUGAAUUGACGGGGACCCGCACAAGUAGUGGAGCAUGUGGUUUAAUUCGAAGAUACGCGCAGAACCUUACCAACACUUGACAUGUUCGUCGCGACUCUAAGAGAUUAGAGUUUUCGGUUCGGCCGGACGAAACGCAGGUGCUGCAUGGCUGUCGUCAGCUCGUGUCGUGAGAUGUUGGGUUAAGUCCCGCAACGAGCGCAACCCUCACUUUUAGUUGCCAUCAUUAAGUUGGGCACUCUGAAAGAACUGCCAGUGAUAAGCUGGAGGAAGGGUGGGGGAUGACGUCAAGUCCUCAUGGCCCUUACGUGUUGGGCUACACACGUGCUACAAUGGCAUCUACAACAGGAAGCAAAACGGCAACGUUAAGCAAAUCCCGAAAAGAUGCCUCAGUUCGGAUUGCACUCUGCAACUCGAGUGCAUGAAGCUGGAAUUACUAGUAAUCGUGGAUCAGCGUGCCACGGUGAAUGCGUUCCCGGGUCUUGUACACACCGCCCGUCACACCAUGGGAGUUGGUUCUACCUUAAGGCAAGGUUUUAAACCCUUGACCACGGUAUAGUCAGCGACUGGGGUGAAGUCGUAACAAGGUAGCCGUAGGGGAACCU
rnacentral:rRNA from 1 species